AGACGUCUACAUUAGACUACCCCGUAGUCCCAGCCGUAAACUAUGCGCGUUAGGUGUAUCGGUGACCACGAGUUACCGAGGUGCCGAAGGGAAACCGUGAAACGUGCCGCCUGGGAAGUACGGACGCAAGGCUGAAACUUAAAGGAAUUGGCGGGGAGCACCACAACAGGUGGAGCCUGCGGUUUAAUUGGACUCAACGCCGGGAAGCUCACCGGAUAAGACAGCGGAAUGAUUGCCGGGCUGAAGACUCUGCAUGACUAGCUG
rnacentral:rRNA from 1 species